UUAAUUGUUAAGUUUUAAUCAUGGACCAAUUAAGUGGCGACACGUGUCAAGUUUUUAUUAUUUUAUAAUUUUCUUUAUAAACUCAACAUAAAACUCUCCCAUUCACUCUCUCAUUACCGUUCAAGCCAAAGAACAAAGGGGGAAAGAAUAGAAAAACUCUAAGGAGGAAAAAUUCAAGAGAAAUUCAUUGGAUUUCCGAAAAACGAAGCUAUCGAAGGUAAGAUUUCGCGAUUUAGCUUAAGAUCUACCUUAUCCAUGCUUUCUUUUUCAUUUUCUAUGGUUGAAACUCAAGUUUUCAUGAUGGAAGCAUGUUGGUCGAAUCAAGGGGGGAAGGUUUUGAUGAUGUUUUUUGAUAGAUUUCAGGCUAUCUAGGUGUUUUUAGUGUUUUGUGAUAUUCGAUAUGAAAAACAAGCAAGAAAAUAACAUGUUCUUCAUCAAACCCUAAUUGAUCGAAUUCUAUAGGGAAUAUUUUGAAGAUGAAUUUUGUCAUAUUUCAUGUUAUCUAGCUUGUAUUUGAUGAUUCGUGAUGUCGGAUAUCGAAAACGGUUAUCAAUAAGUAUAGUUCCUUUAGUAAACGACUUGAACGAUAAUGAGAAAAUUAUAGUAAAUGGACUUAGAAUUGAUUUCUAAUGAGGUAUACGAACUUAUUAGAGUACCAAAAGUGCAAUGAAUCUAUUUGGAGUUGAAUUGGAUAUUUUGGCUAAUUAAACAGUGUAUAGUACGAGUUAGGUCAAAUACCAUUUCAGUCCAACAAUAAUUGAACCUACGUAGAACACCAUCUUUAAGUGAUUAUUUGAACACUUCUCAUUCAAUUUCAUACAUUCAUAAAGAGCCUGAAAUAGUUUUAUAACAGUUUGGCACAAAUGUAUUGAAUUACUUGUUGUGCAUUAUGUAUAAGUGGUGAGCCCUUUGGUAAGGGUAAGGAUAUCGUCCUCGAGGACCAGGAGUAGGAGUACUCCCGUUAUUGUGAGUAAACACACGAUCAUCUUAACUAUCUAAAGUAGUUUAUACUCAUUUUUAUGAUUUUAAAGAAUAAUAAAUUUAAAUUGUAAACUAUUAUGUUUUAUAACUGAAGUGUUGGUUAAAUGAAAUGAGAUUCAUAAUUUGGUUUGAAAUUGAAUCCUGGUUUUGGAAAUUGAGUAAGUGGAGACUAUAUACUUGUGUUAUAUAUAUAUGUUUUGAUAUAUGGUUUGAAUUGAUGGCUUAUAACAAUGUGAUGGCAUGAUUGGCUGGAUUUGUGUUUGUAUGGAAUAUAUGAAUUGUUUUGUUUUACCUUGACAGGCUGGGUAAUAUCAUAUUAGCCAUGUCAUGCUGUUGAAAUUUUUGUUGAUUUGGUGGGGUAAGUGAUUAGCUUACUGCAGUGGGCGGGUUUUCAUGGACCAGCCUAUUAGAGGGGCACGGUAAACCCUAUCAUAUUUUACCUUAGUAGGAGAGGCGCAGAAGGUAUCUCCUAAGGUAGUUUAGAGUUCACUUCACGCCGAACCACCACGUGAGGGUGAAUGUCACAACCCGAUACUCCCCUCGAGCCCGUGACAACUGCCGUGACGUCCUGAUCGACACUCCUUACCUCGAAUGUCAACCGGAACCCCGCAAGGUUUUAAUAUUAGUUUAUCAUUUCCCCUGCAAGUAACUGUUGCCAAUUACCACGUUCUAAAAGAUUUUAAACUGUUUCCAACUUAAAACAAAUAAAAUAAUAAUUUUCGUCUCAUAGGGGUAUUUUGGUCAUUUUUUUCAAAAAUUUUGAAAUUGGCUAAAAUGUAAUAUACAAGUACAAAACACAUAAUUCAUAAUCAAAAUGAGUUUAAAAGUCUAAAAUUUUCAUUUAAAA
rnacentral:lncRNA from 1 species